CCCCUCCCAGGGUCACACCUGGAGAGUUUCGAGUACUCUACCAGUCUCGACUAUGAAAGGAAGAAUCAAGCAGAGGCCUGUCCAUUCCAUUCCUAGCUUGGGCAGUGGUUAGCGAGUGGAAGACAAUCUGCUACUAGU
rfam:Ornithorhynchus anatinus chromosome 4, whole genome shotgun sequence.